CCAAUAGCGUAUAUUAAAGUUGUUGCAGUUAAAAAGCUCGUAGUUGAAUUUCAGGCCUGGCUGGGCGGUCCGCCUUUUGGGUGAGUACUGCCUGUGGUCGGGUCCUACCUUCUGGCGAAGCGUCAUGGCCUUAACCGGCCGUGGCGGGGAACCAGGACUUUUACUGUGAAAAAAUUAGAGUGUUCAAAGCAGGCAAUCGCUUGGAUACAUUAGCAUGGAAUAAUGGAAUAGGACAGUGGUUCUAUUUGUUGGUUUCUAGGACCGUUGUAAUGAUUAAUAGGGAUAGUUGGGGGCAUUAGUAUUCAAUUGUCAGAGGUGAAAUUCUUGGAUUUAUUGAAGACUAACUACUGCGAAAGCAUUUGCCAAGGAUGUUUUCAUUAAUCAAGAACGAAAGUUAGGGGAUCGAAGACGAUCAGAUACCGUCGUAGUCUUAACCAUAAACUAUGCCGACUAGGAAUCGGGCGAUGUUGACAAAAUGACGCGCUCGGCACCUCAUG
rnacentral:rRNA from 1 species